rnacentral:lncRNA from 1 species
UUCAUUGGCUACUUAUCGAACUCCACUCUCCACUCACUUCCUGCCUCAGGGCCUUUGCACUUGCUGCUCUCCAUUUCUGAGAUUCUCAGCUCCCAGAUUUUCAUAGCGUUGACUUCUUCUCAUCCUUGAACUUUUAGCCCCAUUCACUCUACCUGUUAGCUUAUUAGGUUGUUUUAUUGUCUUCAAAGUGCUCAGAGCUCUGUAGGUUUAUCUGGCUUGUUUUUUUACUUAUUUCCUUUUUAUUUGCAUUUUCAACCACCAAAACAUUUAGCUGCAUGAGAUAAGGAAUCCUGUCUGUCUAAUUUACCACUAAAACUAUAGCACCUAGAAGGGCAUGAAAGGACACAGGGAGGGAUGAAAAAAUUGCUUUGCACACUGUAUUCAAUAUAGUCAUGGGCCAGACGGAGGUGGAGGCCAUGACCAUCAAUUACAAUGUCAUUGCUCUAAAUGAUUAAAAGAACUCUCAGCACUAAUUUUUCUAUUUUCCUUUGCUUUCCAAGCUGGGCACCUGUUCUUUAAGGAUAGAAGAGCAACCCCUGAACUAAGGUAUGAACACUUGAGGAGGACACAACGUCACUUGUAUAUCACUCCAGCCUGGAAUCCAUAAACUGAAUUUAUUCAUGAGGAAACACCAGACAAACCCAAAAUGAAGAAUAUCUCAAUCGGUAAAAAGAGACUAUUUUCUUCAAAUUUGUCUAUGUCAUAACAGACAAAGAAAGGUGGUGAAAAUCCACCUACCUAUCUACCUACUUA